GAUGAAGAACGUAGCGAAAUGCGAUAAGUAAUGCGAAUUGCAGAACUCAGUGAAUCAUCGAAUCUUUGAACGCACAUUGCGCCCGCCAGUACUCUGGCGGGCAUGCCUGUCCGAGCGUCAUUUCAACCCCUCGGGCCCCCCUUUCAGCGCAAGUCUUGCUUCGCUGCGGGGGGGGGCCCGGUGUUGGGGCUCAGGCGUCGCCCGCGGCGCCUGUCCCCUAAAUGCAGUGGCGGCCUCGCCGUCGCCCCCCUCCGCGCAGUAAGCACGAAAAACCUCGCGGCUUGGGAAGGCGGCGGCGGCCACGCCGUGAAACAACGGAAUCUCCAUUCCAAUUUUUACAAGGUUGACCUCGGAUCAGGUAGGGAUACCCGCUGAACUUAAGCAUAUCAAUAAGCGGAGGA
rnacentral:misc_RNA from 1 species